CCAUCCUUUGUCUCCCCUGAAUGGGAAUUUCUGCAAAGUUGUCCAAGCACGUCUAAGCUCACCUGAGAUGCCUCUCUAAUUCCCCAGCAGAGUCUACUCUGACCUGGAAGGCUCCCCGAUUCCCCAACUCGUCCACCUCUGCGAUGCCUCCCUAGUUCCCGAGGCGUGUCUACACCGACCUGGGAUGUCUCCCUAAUUCUCUAAGUGUGUCUCCACUGACUUGAUAUGUCUCCCCAUUUCCCAGGAACUUCUGUGCAGAAUGGGGACAAAUCCCUAGAACCCCAGGUAUGUCAGUCAUGAGCUGGGAUGUCUGCCUAAUUCCUCAGUUGUGUCUACACUGACCUGGGAUAUCUUCCAAAUCCCCCAGCUGUGUCUAUACUGACCUGCAAUGUCUCCCUAAUUCCCCAGCUUUGGGGACAAGGAUGGGAUCCAAAGGAGAUUGCUGAUGACUUUGGGGACAACAAGAUAUGCAGGUGUUAGUAUCUGCUGAACCAUUUGACUUCUCUGUCUUUCUCGCCAUUUCCGAGGACCAUGGGUGCCUUAGAGAAAAAGGGUCUCGGCCAAGAACUCACUGUAAAGGGUGGAGGGAGAAUUUUUUCCUCCUCUACAGUUCCCAGUGACCCAGAUGGGACCUGCUGGGAUACCCACCCCACUUGCUCUGGAGCCUGCAGACAGGAUCCAGGGAAAACUGGCAGAAGUUGGCAAAGGGUAUACCUUCGGUUUAAAAGAAGAAGAGAAGGGAGUUCAGUAUCGCCAGGGAUAUUUAUUGUUUGUCCCAGCGAAAACCUGUUAAGAAGAUAUUUGAAAGGAUUUUUUCAAAAUGAGCUCUAUGGUCAAAAGUUGGCCAAAUUGGAAGCUGAUAUAAGAGCCUGAUAGGGGAGAAAGUCUAAAAAAAUUCCUAAACUAAAAU
rnacentral:lncRNA from 1 species